rnacentral:rRNA from 1 species
GACAGAGGGUGCAAACGUUGUUCGGAAUUACUGGGCGUAAAGCGUGUGUAGGCGGCCAUAUAAGUCGGAUGUGAAAGCCCUGGGCUCAACCCAGGAAGUGCACUCGAUACUGGAUGGCUUGAAUCCGGGAGAGGGAUGCGGAAUUCCAGGUGUAGCGGUGAAAUGCGUAGAUAUCUGGAGGAACACCGGUGGCGAAGGCGGCAUCCUGGACCGGCAUUGACGCUAAAGCGCGAAAGCCAGGGGAGCAAACGGG